CGGGCGGUAGCUCAGCUUGGUAGAGCUUCCGGCUGUAGACCGGAUUGUCGCAGGUUCAAAGCCUGCCCGCCCGACCA
rnacentral:tRNA from 1 species